ACGAACCGGACGAACGUUAUUCGGAAUUACUGGGCUUAAAGAGUGCGUAGGCGGCUUGGCAGGUUGGGUGUGAAAUCCCUCGGCUCAACCGAGGAACUGCGCUCAAAACCGCCAGACUUGAGGGAGAUAGGGGUGAGCGGAACUGAUGGUGGAGCGGUGAAAUGCGUUGAUAUCAUCAGGAACACCGGUGGCGAAGGCGGCUCACUGGAUCUCUUCUGACGCUGAGGCACGAAAGCUAGGGGAGCGAACGGG
rnacentral:rRNA from 1 species